UUCCAGGAGGCACUGGAGGGCAAAUUAUCCCUUCCUGUCCCCAGCCUCUCCUCAUCUAUCAGAGAGCUCUUAACUCAUUAGAGUCCUGGUGUUAUGACCAAACUUUCUUCUCUCUGUGCAAUCACAAAGGGGCAGGGCUCAUCUGCCUCCUCGCCUGUACCUUUCCUCCAUGCUCCAGUUUGGGGAGGAUGAAUUCAUCUUCUCUCUUUUUGGCGUUGCUGAGACAGAUAGAGUACCAAGGAUGUUCAUACUUGUCUCCCGUGGCCACGGUUCGAUGAGCAGUUUGCCUCUGCUUGGCAUUACACCAUGAUGUUCUGCUUCAUAGUGGCUAAGAAGCAAAGGAGCCGGCUAAGAGUCGACUGAACCUUUCACCUCAUGAGCCAACACCUCCUUGAAGAGAUGUGAAUGUCACCUGUUUCACUUCAUCAUCCUGAAAGUCACUUCUUCUGCGGCAGGCUUCCUUCCGUGG